CAGUAGUGUAUAUCAACAUUGUUGCGCUUAAAACGCUCGUAGUUGGAUUACAGGGCGUCAAACAGCGGUGCAUCAUUGUACCUCUGGUUGUGGUGCUAGUUUCGACUGGCGCUGCAAUGACGCCCUUUUGUCGCACUAGUCUUUGUCGACGCCUUUACUGGCGUUGGCUAAGCACUGGUGGAGUGUGCCUUGAAUAAAGCAUAGUGCUCAAAGCAGGCGUACGCUCGUGUGUAAUAGCAUGGAACGAUAUACAUGGCCCAACGUCGCUGGCAACAGCGGCGCGGUUCAAUCAGUGUUGGUUGUGAACCAGGUCUCAGCGGUUAAAAGGGACAUCUGAGGGUAUUAGUACUUUGUGGCGAGAGGUGAAAUUCUUAGACCCACAAAAGACUGACUACUGCGAAAGCAUUUGCCAAGAAUGUUUUCAUUAAUCAAGAACGAAGGUCAGAGGAUCGAAGACGAUCAGAUACCAU
rnacentral:rRNA from 1 species